rnacentral:misc_RNA from 1 species
GAGAGAGAGAGAGAGAGAAGAAUUUGCUUUAAACAGAGAGAGCAAGUGAAUGUUCAGUGCAAGUGUUUUUCUAGAUAUUCUAAGUACUGAACAGAGCUGAGAAGUAUCAUUCUCUGAUAUUCCUCUAAUAGAAGUUAUUGAUCUUCUGGGUAAUUAAUGGGAAAUGGCUUUUACAGUGGAGAGGUGUGAUGAAGAGAUGGUGUUCUCUGUGGAAUCACAGAAGGCAGUUCCUGCACCCUUCUUAACCAAGACUUACCAGCUUGUUGAUGACCCUCUUACUGACCGUAUAGUCUCUUGGGGUGAUGAUCAAGCUUCCUUUGUUGUGUGGAGACCUCCUGAAUUUGCUAGGGAUCUCCUCCCUAAUUACUUCAAGCACAACAAC